UUGCUACAGGCUUAACACAUGCAAGUCGAGGGGCAGCAUGGUCUUAGCUUGCUAAGGCCGAUGGCGACCGGCGCACGGGUGAGUAACACGUAUCCAACCUGCCGUCUACUCUUGGACAGCCUUCUGAAAGGAAGAUUAAUACAAGAUGGCAUCAUGAGUCCGCAUGUUCACAUGAUUAAAGGUAUUCCGGUAGACGAUGGGGAUGCGUUCCAUUAGAUAGUAGGCGGGGUAACGGCCCACCUAGUCUUCGAUGGAUAGGGGUUCUGAGAGGAAGGUCCCCCACAUUGGAACUGAGACACGGUCCAAACUCCUACGGGAGGCAGCAGUGAGGAAUAUUGGUCAAUGGGCGAGAGCCUGAACCAGCCAAGUAGCGUGAAGGAUGACUGCCCUAUGGGUUGUAAACUUCUUUUAUAAAGGAAUAAAGUCGGGUAUGGAUACCCGUUUGCAUGUACUUUAUGAAUAAGGAUCGGCUAACUCCGUGCCAGCAGCCGCGGUAAUACGGAGGAUCCGAGCGUUAUCCGGAUUUAUUGGGUUUAAAGGGAGCGUAGAUGGAUGUUUAAGUCAGUUGUGAAAGUUUGCGGCUCAACCGUAAAAUUGCAGUUGAUACUGGAUAUCUUGAGUGCAGUUGAGGCAGGCGGAAUUCGUGGUGUAGCGGUGAAAUGCUUAGAUAUCACGAGGAACUCCGAUUGCGAAGGCAGCCUGCUAAGCUGCAACUGACAUUGAGGCUCGAAAGUGUGGGUAUCAAACAGGAUUAGAUACCCUGGUAGUCCACACGGUAAACGAUGAAUACUCGCUGUUUGCGAUAUACAGCAAGCGGCCAAGCGAAAGCGUUAAGUAUUCCACCUGGGGAGUACGCCGGCAACGGUGAAACUCAAAGGAAUUGACGGGGGCCCGCACAAGCGGAGGAACAUGUGGUUUAAUUCGAUGAUACGCGAGGAACCUUACCCGGGCUUAAAUUGCAGAUGAAUUACGGUGAAAGCCGUAAGCCGCAAGGCAUCUGUGAAGGUGCUGCAUGGUUGUCGUCAGCUCGUGCCGUGAGGUGUCGGCUUAAGUGCCAUAACGAGCGCAACCCUUGUUGUCAGUUACUAACAGGUUCCGCUGAGGACUCUGACAAGACUGCCAUCGUAAGAUGUGAGGAAGGUGGGGAUGACGUCAAAUCAGCACGGCCCUUACGUCCGGGGCUACACACGUGUUACAAUGGGGGGUACAGAGGGCCGCUACCACGCGAGUGGAUGCCAAUCCCCAAAACCUCUCUCAGUUCGGACUGGAGUCUGCAACCCGACUCCACGAAGCUGGAUUCGCUAGUAAUCGCGCAUCAGCCACGGCGCGGUGAAUACGUUCCCGGGCCUUGUACACACCGCCCGUCAAGCCAUGGGAGCCGGGGGUACCUGAAGUGCGUAACCGCGAGGAGCGCCCUAGGGUAAAACUGGUGACUGGGG
rnacentral:rRNA from 1 species